rnacentral:rRNA from 1 species
UACGAACCGUACAAACGUUAUUCGGAAUCACUGGGCUUAAAGGGUGCGUAGGCGGCCAUGUAAGUGGGGUGUGAAAUCCCUCGGCUCAACCGAGGAACUGCGCUCCAUACUGCAUGGCUUGAGGGAGACAGGGGUAAGCGGAACUGAUGGUGGAGCGGUGAAAUGCGUUGAUAUCAUCAGGAACACCGGUGGCGAAAGCGGCUUACUGGGUCUCUUCUGACGCUGAGGUACGAAAGCUAGGGGAACGAACGGG